ensembl:lncRNA
CCUCAUUACCAGCGAGCCGACAUUCGAUGAGGCCAAGUUGACCUCUCCAUCUCCUACACUUCCCACAGAGAGGGUGCAAGUAGUAAAGACAAAGCCCUGCACACCAUUCCAAGUGCUUCUCCUGUCACAUAGCUGGAAGCACCAUCUGAGCAGGUGCAGAGCUCUGCCCGAGUCCACCACUGACCUAAGAAGCAUCCUCUGCGUUAAACAGUUUUCAUUGAGGAACAGGAAGGAUAUCUCUGAAACAUCAUCUGACUCUUCUCAGCCUUCAGUUUCUUUUUUCAUCACAGCAUUUCAGCUUCCUCAGGGCUUCCUCCCAUCUCCC